AUUGAACGCUGGCGGCAGGCCUAACACAUGCAAGUCGAGCGGAGCGGCGGACGGGUGAGUAAUGCCUAGGAAUCUGCCUGGCAGUGGGGGAUAACGUCAGGAAACGGGCGCUAAUACCGCAUACUAUCAGAUGAGACUAGGUCGGAUUAGCUAUGUGGUGGGGUAAAGGCCUACCAAGGCGACGAUCCGAAACUGGUCUGAGAGGAUGAUCAGUCACACUGGAACUGAGACACGGUCCAGACUCCUCCGGGAGGCAGCAGUGGGGAAUAUUGGACAAUGGGCGAAAGCCUGAUCCAGCCAGGCCGCGUGUGUGAAGAAGGUCUUCGGAUUGUAAAGCUCUUUAAGUUGGGAGGCGUUACCAACAGAAUAAGCACCGGCUAACUUCGUGCCAGCAGCCGCGGUAAUAC
rnacentral:rRNA from 1 species